UGCUAUUCUCAUGACAGUGAGUAAUUUCUCACAAGAUCUGAUGGUUUUAUAAGGGGCUUCCCCCUUCACUUGGCUCUCAUUCUUCUCCUUCCUGUCACCAUGUGAAAGAUAUGCUUGUUUCCUCUUCUGCCGUGAUUGCUUAUAAACAGAAGGGACUUGCCUUGUCUCAGAUGAGACUUUGGACUUAGACUUUUGGGUAAUGCUGCAAUGAGCUAAGACCUGCGCUGAUGGAAAGACUGAAGUACAGUGACACGAUCUUGGCUCACUGCAACCUCUGCUUCCUGGGUUCGAGCGAUUCUCCGGCCUCAGUCUCCCAAGCAGCUGAAACUACAGAUGCAGAUAAGAAACGUGGGAAGCCACAAGAAAGCCAAGUAGCCUGGGAAAAAGUGGUCAUUGAGCCAUGAGAAAAAAUUAACAUUUGAUCCUGUUGGUGCCACCUGAAGGCAGAGAUGGCUGAGGACCCCCGAGUAAUGUAUGAAUGAAAGACUUAAGAAUACAUCUGACCCAGGCAGCCUGGGUUCAACUCUCCAUGUGAGAAUACCAAGCUUGGCUGGGCACAGUGCCUCACAUCUGUAAUCCCAACACUUUGAGAGGCUGCGGCAGGAAGAUUACUUGAAGCCAAGAGCUGGCGAACAACCUGGGCAACAAAGUAGCCAAGUGCAACAGCUUUGGUUUGAGAAGAGCAUGGUGACCAACAGCUCAGACCCCUAAGGGAUGAAGAUCUCUAGUCUGUCACCAGGAAAAGGGACACACUGCAAUCCUGGAGGAGCCGCUCUGUGGAUGCAUAUGAAAAAUGGAAUCAUAGAUGCGCAAGGGAUUGAAUGGCGAACACAGAUGUGGCCCACAAAGAUCCUUAACAACUGCUGGGUGUACUGCCAGCAGACAGCCUUUAGAGAGGAGCCUCUUCAGGAAUUACUUCAGCUAUAGAGACCCACUUUUUCCAAGAUCAUGUCUUUCCAGGGGUGGUCCACAUUUAGCGACUGAUCUAGGCAAAAGUAAAAAAAGUUCAAGCCCUUUUAUCCCAAAGUGGGGCAACUCUGUUGGGCCAUUUCAGCUUUUAAAUUCCUUGUGGUGUUGGCUGAUGUUAUUGGGUUGGCCUGGCAGCCCUACAUACUCUUCUCCCCAAUCUUGUUUUUUUCCCUUUUCAUUCAUGGCUUUUGAUCUCAAGGCACUUCUUUUUUAAAAAAAUUUUUACCUCAUUUUUUUUGGACAGGGUCUCACUUUGUUGCCCAGGGCAGAGUACUGUAGCACAACCAUAGCUCAUUGCAACCUCCAGUUCCUAAGUCAUCCUCCCACCUAAGCCUCCUGUGUAGCUAGGACUAUAGGUGCAUGCCACCAUGCCCUGCAAAUUUAAAUUUUUUUUUCGUGGAGAAAGGGUCUUGGUAUACUGCUCAGGCUAGUCUCAAAUUCCUUAUCUCAAGUGAUCAUUCCCUCUUAGCCUCCCAAUGAGCCAUUGCACCUGGUCCCAAAGGCACUUCUUAAUAAGCAUCCUGCAUGCUAAACCCUGUCUAUAAAAGUCUUUAAGAAUUGGCUUUCUGUAAACCCCAGCCAGCAAUACAUAACUAUUUUGAAGCCUCCACAGAACUCUUGAGCAUUUGCUACAAACCAGCCAGCAAUCUCCUCCCAUCCAAGUUUUUCAGUGUAUAAACUCCAAUCUCUUCACAAAGUGUCAUCCUGCUCCACAAAGAAGAAUAAACUAGUUAUUGAUUAUGUCUUCUUUGCUUUCUAUACACUCCAAUCAAGCUGUUUCCUCCUUCAUAGUGUGAUGUGAACCCAUAUUGUAGGCUUUUACUCAUGAAAUGACUAUAUUAUUAAAAGAGAGAUUCUCUCAUCUCUAAGCCCUUCCUUAUGAAGAAAUUUGUAAAUAAAUUUAUUAAUGAAUUACCUAUCAUGUUUUUCUUACUCAAAAUAAAUCAGGUGCCCUAUAGCUGCUGAAGCCUUGCUUGCAUCUUAGUAAUAAUAAAGUUGGUGGCUUUAAAAUGAAUUCUAAAAAACUCAAAAUUACAUGUAUUUAUUCUUUUCAUUUCUUAUUCUCAGACUUGAAUUGGCUCACUAUUCAAAGUAUAAGUAAUGUAAACUUUUCAAGAUGAUGCUAUUCAUGAAUUGUCUCUUCUAAGCCCAAAUUACAUAAUUUUCUAGUUUAGAAAAGGCUUUGGUAUAUCUCAUUCCUAUAGCACUCAAGUUUAUCAUCAACUUUAUUGAGGAGAUUUUUAGAUUUUAAAUACUUGAAUUUUGUUUAAAAUAUCAGACACAUGUAAACUUGUCUGACUUUUAAUUUAGCAGGAAAAAAGCUUAAUAUUUCAACAAGACAUUUACCCUGAAGAGAAACAAUAACAUGGAAUAAAAUAAUUAGAACAUCUUUCAUUUAUUAGAAUAGUGAAAAUACAAAAACAAAACAAAACAUAAAAACAACAAUACCAAAUGCUGGUAAGAAUGCUGAAUACAUUCAUUGCUGGUAAGGGUGAAAAUGGUAUAGCCACUUUGGAAAACAGUUUGGUCAGUUUCUUGAAAAAAACUAAACAUAGCCUUACAAGUGGUCCAGCUAUCCCUUUUCUAGUUAUUUACUGAAGUAAGUUGAAAAUUUAGGCUCACCCCAAAAUCUGUACACAGAUGUGUAUAGAUUUAUUCAUAAUCCUCUCAAACUAGAAAUAACAAAAAUGUCCCUCAAAUGGUGAAUUGAUGAACAAAUUGUAUGUAGUAUAUCUAUAUAAUAAAAUAUAAUUCAACAACAAAAAGAUAUGUGCUGUCAAGCCACAUAAAAAAUGUAGAAAUCUAAUAUGCCUAUUGCUUAGUAAAAAAGCCAGUCUGAUAAGGCUACAUACUGUAUGAUUCUAAAUAUAUAGUAUUCUAGAAAAGGCAAAAUUAUAGAGACAAUAAAAUAUUUGUGGUUUCCUGGGAUUGAGGGGAAGAGGAAGAUUGAGCAGGUGCUACACAGGGGCACAUUAGGGCAGUGAAAGUAUUCUGCAUGAUAUUAUAAUGGUGGAUUCAUGACACUAUGCAUUUGUUAAAACCUAUAAAACUGUAACACAAGGAGUGAAGCCAAAUGUAAACUAUGGACUUUGGUUAAUAAUAAUGUAUCAAUAUUGGCUCAUCAAUUAUAACAAAUGUACCACAUUAAUGCAAGAUGUUAAUAAUGAGGAAGACUGUGAGGUGAUAAAGAGGGGAUAUAAGGGAAUUCUCUGUACUGUGUUCUCAAUUAUUGUAAACCUCAAACUUCUGUAAAAAUCCUAUUAAUAAGAUAAAAAGGAAAAUAUGUGUGUGUGUGUGUAUAUAUAUAUAUAUAUAUAAU
rnacentral:lncRNA from 10 species